rnacentral:snRNA from 1 species
GUGUCAUGUGAAAGGAGAGAAGGUUAGCGCUCCUCUUGAAAAGA